GCAGAACAAAAGUGGAAGUUAUCAGAAAAUAAAAGAUUAAGAGAUAGACCAGAGCAUAGUAAAAUUCACAUGGAGAUCCGAGGCUAAACAAGUACCCAGGUAUGUUUGGUGGUGGUGAAAUCGUAGAAAGGAUAUCCAAUAGUGAAAAAAAUCCACAGAGCGCUAGAGAAUUUUGAAGAAAUGAUGAUUAUGUGAUGUGGGGAUAAAGAAACUAUAUAUAAGAAGUGAAAGGUUGUGUCUCAAACGGUUGCGUCUCAUAAGAAGGUGACGAUUCAAAGAAAGGAAAAGUAAGAUGUCGUUUGCAUUAGUAUUGAUGACAUAAGACUUUUAAAUGAAACUAAAAUUUUAUCCGUUAGAUUGCAUAGCAGCAACAAUCUCAACCGUAUGAUCUUAAUUUUA
rnacentral:lncRNA from 1 species